GACGAACGCUGGCGGCGUGCUUAACACAUGCAAGUCGAACGGAAAGGCCCUGCUUUUGUGGGGUGCUCGAGUGGCGAACGGGUGAGUAACACGUGAGUAACCUGCCCUUGACUUUGGGAUAACUUCAGGAAACUGGGGCUAAUACCGGAUAGGAGCUCCUGCUGCAUGGUGGGGGUUGGAAAGUUUCGGCGGUUGGGGAUGGACUCGCGGCUUAUCAGCUUGUUGGUGGGGUAGUGGCUUACCAAGGCUUUGACGGGUAGCCGGCCUGAGAGGGUGACCGGCCACAUUGGGACUGAGAUACGGCACAGACUGCUACGGGAGGCAGCAGUGGGGAAUAUUGCACAAUGGGCGGAAGCCUGAUGCAGCAACGCCGCGUGCGGGAUGACGGCCUUCGGGUUGUAAAACGCUUUCGCCUGUGACGAAGCGUGAGUGACGGUAAUGGGUAAAGAAGCACCGGCUAACUACGUG
rnacentral:rRNA from 1 species